UACGUAGGGGGCAAGCGUUAUCCGGAUUUACUGGGUGUAAAGGGAGCGUAGACGGCGAAGAAAGUCUGGAGUGAAAGCCCGCGGCUUAACCGCGGAACUGCUUUGGAAACUUUUUGGCUGGAGUACCGGAGAGGUAAGCGGAAUUCCUAGUGUAGCGGUGAAAUGCGUAGAUAUUAGGAGGAACACCAGUGGCGAAGGCGGCUUACUGGACGGUAACUGACGUUGAGGCUCGAAAGCGUGGGGAGCAAACAGG
rnacentral:rRNA from 1 species